rnacentral:rRNA from 1 species
GAUGAACGCUGGCGGCGCGCCUAACACAUGCAAGUCGAACGAUUAAAGCAUCUUCGGGUGCGUAUAAAGUGGCGAACGGCUGAGUAACUCGUGGGUACCUUGCAACUCUCAUUGUGGUAGCCACGGGAAACCGUGGAUAAUACCGAAUACUUCGGGCCUCCUGCAUGGAAGAGCCGAGAAUGUUCCGGCGGUGUGGGAUGGGCUCGCGGCCUGUUGGCUUGUUGGUGGAGUAGUGGCCUAGCACGCCAAAGAUGGGUAGCUGGGUUGAGAGACGGAACAGGCAGAAUGCGACUGAGACACGGCCCAGACGCCUACGUUAGGCAGCAGUGGGGAGUCUGGCACAGUGGGCGAAAGCCUGAUGCGGCGGCGCCCCGUUUGGGAAGAAGGCCUGCGGGGUAUGAACCGCUUUCAGCAGAGACGAGGCUAAAGUGACGGUACCUAAAGAAGAAGCCCCGGCUAACUUCGUG